rnacentral:rRNA from 1 species
GACGAACGCUGGCGGCGUGCUUAACACAUGCAAGUCGAACGGAAAGGCCCUGCUUUUGUGGGGUGCUCGAGUGGCGAACGGGUGAGUAACACGUGAGUAACCUGCCCUUGACUUUGGGAUAACUUCAGGAAACUGGGGCUAAUACCGGAUAGGAGCUCCUGCUGCAUGGUGGGGGUUGGAAAGUUUCGGCGGUUGGGGAUGGACUCGCGGCUUAUCAGCUUGUUGGUGGGGUAGUGGCUUACCAAGGCUUUGACGGGUAGCCGGCCUGAGAGGGUGACCGGCCACAUUGGGACUGGGGUACGGCCCAGACUCCUACGGGAGGAAGCGGUGGGGAAUAUUGCACAAUGGGCGGAAGCCGGAUGCAGCAACGCCGCGUGCGGGAUGACGGCCUUCGGGUUGUAAACCGCUUUCGCCUGUGACGAAGCGUGAGUGACGGUAAUGGGGAAAGAAGCACCGGCUAACUACGU